GGUAAAAUGGCUGAGUAAAGCAAUAGACUGUAAAUCUAAGAACAGAGGCUUGAUUCCUCUUUUUACCA
rnacentral:tRNA from 2 species